rnacentral:rRNA from 1 species
AGCAGCCGCGGUAAUUCCAGCUCCAAUAGCGUAUAUUAAAGUUGUUGCAGUUAAAAAGCUCGUAGUUGAAUUUCGGGAUCAAUUUGCUGGUCGUGCCUUCGGUACGCACUGGUAUUAUUGGUUUCUCCUUUCUGAUGAAUCGCGAUGUCAUUAAUUUGGUGUCGUGGGGAAUCAGGACCGUUACUUUGAAAAAAUUAGAGUGUUUAAAGCAGGCUCACGCUUGAAUACAUUAGCAUGGAAUAAUGAAAUAGGACGUUUGAUUCUAUUUUGUUGGUUUCUAGGAUCGACGUAAUGAUUAAUAGGGAUAGUUGGGGGCAUUAGUAUUCAAUUGUCAGAGGUGAAAUUCUUGGAUUUAUUGAAGACUAACUACUGCGAAAGCAUUUGCCAAGGAUGUUUUCAUUAAUCAAGAACGAAAGUUAGGGGAUCGAAGACGAUCAGAUACCGUCGUAGUCUUAACCAUAAACUAUGCCGACUAGGGAUCGGAUGAUGUUAAUUUUUAAUGUA